UCUCCUCCACCCACUGCCCCCUCCCCCACCCUCUCUCUGCUCCUCCGCCCACUGCUCUCCCUCUCUCUCAUAUCCCAGCUCCUCUUCUUUGCCUCCCUCUCUCUCAUCUCCAAAUUUUUUUGGUUUAAUGGAGGACAGAGGAACUAGAUCUGUUUUCUCUCUCCUUCGACACCCACUUCCGGUCAUCACCGUGACUCACCUCCACCAUCUCCGACCUCCGACGAUGGAGUUUAUGCUGCCGACCUAGCUAGGUGAAGUGUGAUGGAAAUAAUGGUUGGUUAACUUGGUUUCUUGUCUAAAAUAGGUUGAAAUGUUUGCAGACUCGUGGGGUGCGAUUUGGGCAAGCAAAUGAGCAUACGGCUAUUGGUUUCGCUGAGGUAUGUUAUGGUGUGUAUCCAAAUUUACUUUCCCAGGCUAUGAAGCUCUCUUCAAUUGCAUUAUAAUUGAAAGUUCUUUUCUGGUUAAGUGAUAUCGAUUUUCCCUUAUAGUGUUGUUCAGCUUUUUGCUUAUAGUGCUGUUCAGCUUUUUGAUAAAUAACAAUAGUUUGAAUGACAAUUUUGAAAAUGAAGCAGCUUAUCGGUAUGUGCAAUACUUUUGUUCGUUGAAGUUCUACCUUGUUUUCUGGUUCACCUCCACGGUAAUGGCUGUUAUAUAUAAAGACAUUAUCUUACACCAGUAAUGAUUCUAAUGAAACAGUAGAAGGUUUUUCAGCUUUUAAACAGUACAAGCUCCAUGUCAUAAAUUUCCAAUAAUGGCUGUUAAAUUUCCACUGUAAAGUUGGAACAACUACUUUAUUACCAUUACCUCUGUGUUAUACUUUAUUACUUCCAGAACAGGGUCUUAUCUUUGUUGUAGACAGCAAUGACAGAGGUCGUGUUGUUGAGGCAAGGGAUGAAUUCCACAGGAUGUAGAAUGAGGUUUGUUCUCAUCUUGUGAGAGCACGUUUACAGACAUGAGCUAAAUUAUCUUCUAUAUACAUUAAUUUGUAAUUGAUCAUAUACAACCACACACUCAGAUGGUUUUGUAUUCUACAUUUGCAAUUUGGAUUCUUAUGAUUUUUAUCCCAGGAUAAGCACUGCAUGUCUUUUGGUAAUUCUUUCACAAGUAUAUCGGUAAGACAUUUUAUUUAUAUGUUGCUGUGAUCAUAUAUGCAUCUUUAUCUUAGUUUCUGGUGCGCUUUCACUGCAGGCCUGGCUUGAUUUUCCUCUCAUUGCUUGCCUCAGAUAUUGGCAGCCACUGGAUGCAGAUGUACAGGCAAGGGUAGUUACAAAGAUGUGAAAGACAUCACUAAUUGGCUAUGUCUUUCAAUGAUUCAUCACUUCAUGCACUAACCCAACUUGCCUCAUGUCCUGGGCUACAAUGCCUUCAUCUGCGGCUUUGGUUUUCGGUGGUGAGUUAAUAGUUAUACUGAAUGCAUGUCAAUUUAUGUUUGCAUAAUUUAAAUGUGAAAUUUCUUUGCAGAAAGAAAUACCCAAAAACGUACACGCAUUUACAAACCUCAAGCAAUUGCACUUGGAAGCUGCAAGAGUGGAAAAAUGGAUCAUAUUUGCUUUAUGUUACUCAUUUGAUAAUGUUAAUUUCUUUCCCUAUGGCCCUAGGAAAAAGCGCUGGAACAACUCAAGGUAACAGAAAGCAAGACAGUUGCAGUAAGGCAAAAGAUGGACUUGGUGUUCUAUACGCUACAUAGAUUUUGACCUCAUUUCUAAGAGCAUUGAGAAAGCGAAAAAGUAAGUUGUGGCCUGAGCAUUGAGAUAUGGAGGCCCUUGGUUGAAGAGAAGAGCUGGGUUAGGCAUGGGUAUGGUUGUAGCCUAUAAUCCAAGUCUCCAUUAUCUCAUUGAAUCUCAUGGUUUUGUUGAAGAGGAUGCAAAAUCUUUUACAAUUUCUUUGCUUCUUUAAUGUAAAGCACUUCAUUGUAAAUGUUUGAAGUAUGUUUAUUGUAGAGAAAUAAAAGUAUUAUUAUGUUCA